UACGAAGGGGGCUAGCGUUGCUCGGAAUCACUGGGCGUAAAGCGCACGUAGGCGGCUUUUUAAGUCAGGGGUGAAAUCCUGGAGCUCAACUCCAGAACUGCCUUUGAUACUGAGAAGCUCGAGUCCGGGAGAGGUGAGUGGAACUGCGAGUGUAGAGGUGAAAUUCGUAGAUAUUCGCAAGAACACCAGUGGCGAAGGCGGCUCACUGGCCCGGUACCGACGCUGAGGUGCGAAAGCGUGGGGAGCAAACAGG
rnacentral:rRNA from 1 species